UUGCAGUUAAAGCUCGUAGUUGGAUCUAGGGACGCGCAUUUCAAGCGCCCGUGUCGUCGGGUCAAACCGGCGACUGCGUUGGCGUUGCGGGCUCGGUCCGUCGGUGCCCCACAAAGGUUAUCGGCGUGUCAACCGGCCCGCCCGUCCCCUCCUUCUGGAUUCCCGUUCCUGCUAUUGAGUUAGUGGGGACGUCACAGGGGGUCCAUCGUCGACGUGUUUCAACGCGUCGGCGGUGGAUCUCUGGGGCCCAGAUCGUUUACCGUGAAAAAAUUAGAGUGUUCAAAGCAGGCAGAUUCAAUUUUCUGCCACCGAAUACAUUAGCAUGGGAUAAUGGAAUAGGACCCUGUCCUCCUAUUUUCAGUUGGUUUUGGCAGCGCGAGGACUAGGGUAAUGAUUAAUAGGGAUAGUUGGGGGCAUUAAUAUUUAAUUGUCAGAGGUGAAAUUCUUGGAUUUAUGAAAGAUUAACUUCUGCGAAAGCAUCUGCCAAGGAUGUUUUCAUUAAUCAAGAACGAAAGUUAGGGGAUCGAAGACGAUCAGAUACCGUCGUAGUCUUAACCAUAAACGAUGCCGACCAGCGAUUAGGAGACGUUGAAUACAAAACACCACCAUCGGCGCGGUCGUCCUUGGCGUUCGUGUUCACGCACGAGCGCGAGGGCGGUUUAGCCCGAUGGCACCGGUGAAUGACUCCCCUAGCAGCUUGUGAGAAAUCAUAAGUCUUUGGGUUCCGGGGGGAGUAUGGUCGCAAGGCUGAAACUUAAAGGAAUUGACGGAAGGGCACCACCAGGA
rnacentral:rRNA from 1 species